AAAUCUACUUGGAUAUUGGUAUAACCAUACCAAUUUUCUUUUAACUAAUGUUAGUAUAGUACAUAUUUUCUCAUACCUUUACUUUAAAUGUAUAUGUGUCUUUACAGCUAAUAUUUGUUUCUUAUAGGCAGCAUAUAGUUAGGUCUUGCUUUUUUAUCCAAUGUUAAAAUCCUUAUCUUUUAAUUUGGGUGUAUAGGCCAUUUUUACUUAAUAUGAAUGUUGAUAUGAUCUAUUAAAUUCUAUUUGUCCCAAUUUGAUUUAUAAGGCAGGAUUUGAACAGAUAUUUAACCAAAGAUGAUAUCUGAAUGGCCAGUGAGCAUGUUGGAGGAUUCUCAACUUAUUUUUCCAUUACAAAAAUGCAAAUUAAAACUACAAUGACAUACAGCUGCACACUACUUAGAGGGGCUAAAGUGGCCGCCCUCACCUGGUGCUGGUGAGAAUGUGGAUGGACUAGGGCUCUCAUUCACUGCUGGUAAGAAUGUAAAACAGUGCAAGAACUUCGGAAAAUAGUUUGGCAGGUUUUUUUAAAAGUUAAACAUGCACCUGCCAUAUGACCCAGCCAUUCCACUCAUAGGUAUUUUUACCCAAGAGAAAGGAGGUUUUUCUAUACAUAUAUCUGUAUAUCGAUGUUACAUCAACUUCAUCUGAAAUUGUCCAAACCUGGAAACAACUAAAACGCCCACCGACAGAUGAAGAGAGAAAUUGCUCCUCUAUCCAUACAGUGGAACAUACUCAGCAACAGACGGAUGAACUGUUGAUACGUGAGACAACAUGGAGAAAUCUCAAAAUAGUUAUUCUGAGUGAAAAAACAGACAAAAAAGGGAGUACAUAUUUCAUGACUCUAUGUGUGUAAAAUUCUAGAACACGCAAACUAAUCCGUAGUGACAGAAAGCAGAUCCAUGGUUGCCUGGGGAGAUGAAGCCACAGGAGAUAGGGAGGAAGGAGAAAGGGAGUUCGAAAGCCAAGAAGAGGCUUUAGGAGCGGGGAUUUGUACAUCUUGAUUGUGGUGACGCUUCACAAAUGUAUAUAUAUGUCAAAACGUAUCAAAUUGUCCAUUUUUAAUAUGUGUCACUAAUUGUAUGCCAAUUACACCCCAAAAAAGCUGUUUUUCAAAAAUCCAACUUAAACUUAGAAUUUACCACCAAAAGAAUACAAAUAAGGACUAGGCCUUCCAAAACACUAGAGAAAAAAUAAAAUAGUAAAGAAAACAGCUCACAAAGCCAAAGAUAGGGAAAGAAAAAGGAUAACAAAGCAUAAAUAACAGAUGUAUCAACAAACAUGUCUGUUUUGACAAUAAACACUAUUUAAAGAAAACCAUCCAAAUAUACACUCCUCACAAAGGGUACACGUAAAAUAAAAUACUUAAAUGUUAAAAAGAAAAGGAAAGCAAAUAUAUGUUAGGCAAGCAUAAACAAUAAGAAAGAGAGUUGGUAAAAUGAGUAUCAGAUAAAGCCAAAAAGCACUAAAAGAGACAAAGAGUAAUUUGAUUCUGAGGAACAAUUAAAGACCCAAUGAGGGCACAGCAACGAUUAACCUUUAAGCAGGGAAUAAUUUAUCAUCCAAAUCUACAAAGCAAAAACUGUAAGACAUACAACUGGAAAUUAGCAACAAAAAGGCAAAUGUUAGCCCCAAGGAUCAAGCUAUAUAAAGGCACACUUUGUUUAAUUGUGUCCAUUUUUAAUUUGAAUGGUGAGAUUGUUUUGAAUGAGUGGGAGAAAAUUUACAUCCUCCAACAGCGACUGUGAGACACAGCUUGAGGAGUGCAUAGGGAACCCUUAGCCCUCCCUCCCCACCUGCCCAGCCCUACUUUGGGCCACGAGGAGAGGAGGCAGAGCAGAGACUGUCUUCAGCCAUGAGAGUGAUGGUGUGUGAGAGACUAUUCCUUCUCCUAGUGGCAAACCCAGCUCAGAGCUGGCUCUUCUUUCUCCCUAGAGCCCAGGUCUCCAGCCCAAGGAACCGCCUCACCUUGUCAUCCCAGGAGGGUUGGUGCCCACUUAUCUGCAGCUUCCUGACCCAAAUAGCCAGACCUUCCACAGGUUUGCCUACAAGAGGGCUAGUGCGUCCUGCAACUCAGAUGCUUUUCCAUCAAAAUAAAUGCCCAUAUAGAAGGAGUCAAGAAUAAAUACCCACAUCCACCAUCGCAGUGUGGUAAGAACAUUACAAGGACACUGAUGAGAAUGAAGCCGGACAUCACUGAGCCCCACCGUCCUGUGUCAUGUUGGCUAAGGCCCCGUGCUCCGUCCUGUAUGUAAGAAGCCAGCCGGGUGCCUCUCAGGGUUCUGGGCAUCCCUGGGGGGUUACGCCCUGUGCUCACUCUGGCUGGAGGCCCCGACUCCAGCAGAGGCCACUCGCCCCUUCCUCGGCUCCUGCUGCCGCUCUCUUCUCCUGAGUCCAUGAAAACACUGACGCCAAGUUACAUCCUGUUCCUUAUUUGUCCCAACACUCCUCCAAGAGCCCAAACUACUGUGAUCUCAGGAGCUGGAAAAAGCUUGCCGCUCAGAAAGGCAAACACCUUGCACAUCUUCCACCAGGACACCUGAAGUCAAGCUGCUCCCCACAAGAGGCACACCAGUGCAGAUGGUUAAACGACAACUUCUGCACCCACUCCUCAAAGAAGUCCAUAAUCUCUUGCCUCCUCUUGGUCCUGGGAGCCAUGUGCUCUCUGCACUCUUGCCUUGAGCCCAGUCCCAGCUCUGGGAGGCAUAUGCUCCUGGCCAUCACCCCUAAUCAAAUGGGGAAACUGAGGCUGGGAGAGGAUAAGGGACUCAGCCAAGAUUGUAACCCUACUAGGUUUGUAGCCCACUGUGCAGCGCGUCAAUACACAGAUACAGUGUAUUGCACUGGGUUGCAGCAGGGGAAGACUUUAGUAAUUGUAGGGCAGCCGAAUGAGGAGAUGAGAGGAAACCUCAAAUCCACCUGCCCAGGAAGUUUGGGAUGGGCUCUUAAGGGGUCUGGGCAGGUGAUGGGCUAAAGUGUGGGGAUUGCUGACUGGUGGAGAAGUGUGGAGGAUGAAGAAACCGCAUUCCUGUACUUUACUGCUUCCUUGGUCGGGGGUCUUCAUACCUGUUGGCCUCAGCCGUGCUACUAGAAUUCAGGAUCUGAAAAACACCUUAAGCAAUUCUUGAGUAAAAAGACCCAGGGCCAGAGAGUCUCUCUGGUGGAAGAACGGGGCAGCAGGUGCUCAGCCUGCCGAGGGACUCUCUGUGCAUUAGAGCUGCAGGGGACUGGGUGGAAGUGGCCCUGCACACCCGGGUCGGUGCCUCGCUAUAACUCUGCCUGAAGCCUGGCUUGGAUUGUCGUUAACCCUGUGAGGUGAUUCAGUGUGGAGUCAGGAUCCAAUAUGGGUUUAUUUCACAUGCUAACACCAAAUGAGAGCCAGAUAUUUGAAAAUGCAGAUUUCCAAGCUUCUCGGGAGCACCCUCAAGUAGGUCAGCGGCUGCUCCAUCGGGCCCCACGUCGCUCAGGCUUAAGUAAAACGUGCCUGGCUUCAGGCAGACGAGUGAAUGUGAGUGUGUCUGUGAGUGUGUAUGUCUACGUCUGUCUGUCUGUGAGUGUGUCUCUGUGUCUGUGAUGACUGUGUCUGUCAGUGUGUCUGUGUGAGAUCGUCUAUGAGUGUAUGUGUCUGUGUGUGACUGUGUGUGAGCAAAUGUCUCUGUGUGCCUGUGUGUGUCUGUGUAAGUGUGUCCCUGUGUGUCUGUAGUGUGUGUGUCUGAGUGUCUGUCUGAGAGUGUGUGUCUGUCUGUAUGCCUGCAAGUGUGUGCGCGUGUCCCUCCAUCUGUGUGUCUGUGAGCACCUGGGUCUGCAUUUGAGACCCCUGCCCUCACCCUACAAUCUCCCUGCUGCCACACCCCAAAGCUCCAGCACAUUCCUGGAGGAAUUAGAGAGACGAUGCUGUGCCACUGCCCUCCCUUUGAAGUGCACCUGAUGGGGACACAGGGUCUCUGCCAUGAUCCCCACUGGGGCCUUGCCCCUGACCGCACACACUGUCCCAUCUCAGGAGGGUCUCACUGCUGCCCUUUCCUGGCUGUACUGAUGGCCCAAGGGGAUGCGGGAACCAUCAAGACCGAGUCCCUCUGGAGGUGCCUCAUCCCCGCACCGCCCGGCCCUCAGUGCACCCUCUAUGGGGUAGCACUAAGCCAUCCCCCAGGUUGCAGGAGGGAGAUGAACUAAUCUGAAACAUUAAGUAUGGCUUUGGAACCAACUUGGCUCUCCGGAUGACAACUCCCUUGUUCCAGAUGGUUCCUGUGUGCGCCCGCGUUCGUUAGCAUGCUAAUUUAUUCUGACUCAUUCCGGAGCUGGCGCGCGGGCUGGCGCACACCUCUAUGCCAGCACGAGUCCCCGAGGCCCGCGAUUCCCAGCUGGAGCGGCCCCCUCCCCGGGGGCUGUCACACACGCCGAGGGGAAUAAAGGGAAGGGAACAGUUGGGGAUGUGGCUUCAGUGGCAGCCCAGGCAGGCUAUAAUUUCAGCCCUGGCGCCCUGACAUUCACAGCAAGCUCUCGCUCUGUGGCAGAAUCCUCUCGGAAGGCAGCGCCACCCUCUGAGGACGUUCAGGCUGGGAGGUCCCGGGUGGAUCUCCCGCUGCAGCUAAAACACCAGUCAGGCCCCCACAAGGAAACCCAGAGCAAGCAAACACCGAGGAAGAAGUCGCUCCCUCAAAGGCAGCGUCUGGGGGCUGGUAGGAGGCUCCCGGCUGCCGGCCCCACCCCUGGUUGUGAACUCUGUGACCAAGACAGCAGGGACCGAGGGCUACCCACACUCCACAAGCGGGAGGGAUGGGAGCCGCCCGUCAGUGCCCUGCCCACCUCCGGGUGCCCGCCUUCCCUGGAAACAUUCCCACCGUCUUCCUGCAGCUGAAGCAGCGGAAUCACCCUGGGAUGGCCUGGGGAGGAGCCCGCAGAACGACCCGCAUGAGGACACUGAGCUGCAGGAAGCACACGCAGGGCUGGGGUCUCCGGACCGUGGGGCAGAACUUGGGGGGUCAGAGAGAACACACACAUUCGAAUCCCUAAAUUCCUGGUUCAAGGGACAGACCAAACCCCAGGUGCUCGGUGGGACCACGGGAGAAGCCGGCUUAGCUCAAGAAGGCACAAGGGCAGUGGCCAAGUCCCACCCCCAGGCUGAGCCCUGCCAGACGCCCUUUACAAUGUCAGCCUGGGAGUCUCUCCUGAGUCAGGGCAGCCAUCCACAAAGAGUGGACCCCCUAGAAGUCUGGGGGGUGUCCUUGAAUAACACUGUCAUCCCCAAAUCAGAGAGGGAGUUCAGGGGACCUGGGGAUGAGGGGAUUCAGGGGACCUGGGGAUGAGGGAGUUCAGGGGACCUGGGGAUGAGGGGGUUCAGGGGACCUGGGGAUGAGGGGGUUCAGGGGACCUGGGGAUGAGGGGGUUCAGGGGACCUGGGGAUAAGUGGAGCUCUGCCCUUCAGCGGCGCCCGGAGGGCCCGCAACCCCAUCCCCAUGUCUUCCUCAAGCUCCUGAGGGCGUACUUGGAAAAGCACUUCAUGAAUUCCCACACUGGUCCCCUGACCCCAGGACUGAGGAGCAACACGGUGGGACCCGGCACUCUCCCUGCUGCCAAACCCCAAAGCUCCAGCACAUUCCCGGAGGAAUUAGAGAGACAGUGCCAUGCCCCAAAGAUUUGGAAAUGCAGUCAGUUCUCCCUCUACCCGCAAGCACGGCUUCUGACGCGAUGACACUGUAAAUACAACUCGGAGCUGCACCCGGCAGCAGCUGCUGCUCCAGAUGCAGGGUCCUCAUGGGCAUCAGCCAGGCACCUGGUUUUCCCUCCCGUCCAGGAAAUCAGGAACCCUCCAGCCCUUGGGCUGGAGGGAGGCUGGGGCGUCUCCACCACCUGCUCUCAGGGACACCGCAGCACCCCUCUCUGUGACAGAGUUUGGUCCACAGAAGUGAUGGCUGCAGCACUACCUGGGCCUCAUGCUGGCCCAUGCGGGGGGACUCACCAUAGAACCAGAGACGGACACGGAGCACCUUACCUGCCAGAGGUGGGAGACAAGCCCCACUGGGUAGCACAGCUCUUGACACAGCCACGAAGGAGGGAGUGGCAGGCGAGGGAGAGGGGACAAAGCAAGACCAGGCCCUUCCUUCCACCCCUGAUGACCGAGGGCAUCACCGAUGCCCAAGGGUUAGGCCGCUGGGAAUUCCGGGCAGGCGGCUGCAGUGGGAGAGUUCCAGAAGAGAGCCCUCCCAGCGAGUAAGAUCCUCACGUGAGAGAGAGCUCCUGGCUCAUGUUGGGCCUGGGAGGCUGUAGACACCUGACAAUGGGACACCAAAUGACAAGGUGGCCCAGCUGCCCCAUGUGAACUGGAGGUCCCCUGAUCCACUAAGCCCUCGAGCUGGGCCACGCCCAAGAUGCUCCUCCCUCACCAGGUGAACGCCACAUGUGCCGGGCCAGGCCCAUGUGCCCACAGGCCCUCAGGCACCCACGGCUACACCUGUGGCCUCAUCUGUGGCUCCCGGGCUGGCUGAUGGGUGGUCUGGAGGCUGGUGGCAAGAGGCAUCAUCCAGCAGCCAGGCCUGAGCAGGGCACAAUGACAGUCACGUUUCCAUGAAGUGGGAGUGAUGUGAAGCCACAGUCCUGUGGGCCCCCAGGUGUGGCCAGAGGCUGGCCAUGAGAAGGACCGAGCUGGUGACAAGGAGGAAGCUGUUGGUGGCAAGGCUCGUUGGAACAGACACGGGCUGUACACACAUCUGCAUCCAGGUGACCACUCAGGAAGACCCAGAUGGGGAGGCUGUGAAUGACCAGGUGACAAGACACCCCAGCAGGAUCCCCACAGAAUGCCACUUCUGCCCCAGGAGCCGCUGCAGAGGGGAAGAAGGGAAGAGUGAGCAGGUGUCAUGGGAUGACCCGGUCUCAUCCCAAACCCACCAUGAGCCCCUGUGAACAGCUAGAAGAGUGCGGAAGAUGAGGGGCCGCAGCCUUCUUCCCACCACAACAAGCCACCAACACAGAGGCUCCCCAUGGCCUGAGUCCUGGGGUGUGAGGGCUGCACAGGACAGGGCCCUGCCCUGCCCCCACCCCAGCCCCAGCGUUCUCCCCAGCCCCACUCCCCACCCCUGCUCCAACAUCCUCCCCA
rnacentral:lncRNA from 10 species